UUUAAAGAGUGCGUAACAGCUCACUAGUCGAGCGGUCGAGCAUGGAUAAUAAUCGGGCAUAAGCACAUUACCGAAGCAGUGGAUUUUAUGGUAGGAGAGCAUUUUAAACGGGCUGAAGGUGUACCGCGAGGUAUGCUGGAGGUAUCGGAAGUGAGAAUGCUGACAUGAGUAGCGAUAAAGAGUGUGAGAAACACUCUCGCCGAAAGUCCAAGGGUUCCUGCGUAAAGCUAAUCUGCGCAGGGUGAGCCGGCCCCUAAGGCGAGGCCGAAAGGCGUAGUCGAUGGGAACCAGGUUAAUAUUCCUGGGCCAGCGGGUAGUGACGGAUCGUGAGAGCUCAUCGUCCUUACUGGAUUGGACGGUGUGGGUAGCGAUCCCUGGAAAUAGCUCCCGCAUGAGACCGUACCCCAAACCGACACAGGUGGACUGGUAGAGCAUACCAAGGCGCUUGAGAGAACUCUGCUGAAGGAACUCGGCAAAUUACUCCCGUAAGUUCGCGAGAAGGGAGCCUCAUCAUGAAGAUGAGGGGCACAGACCAGGGGGUGGCGACUGUUUACUAAAAACAUAGGGCUCUGCGAAGUCGCAAGACGACGUAUAGGG
rnacentral:rRNA from 1 species